rnacentral:rRNA from 1 species
CCUACGGGAGGCAGCAGUGAGGACUAUUGGUCAAUGGGCGCGAGCCUGCACCAGCCAAGUAGCGUGCAGGAUGACUGCCCUACGGGUUGUACACUUCUUUUAUAAAGGAAUAAAGUGAGGCACGUGUGCCUUUUUGUAUGUACUUUAUGAAUAAGGAUCGGCUACCUCCGUGCCAGCAGCCGCGGUAAUACGGAGGAUCCUAGCGUUAUCCGGAGUUAUUGGGUUUAAAGGGAGCGUAGAUGGGUUGUUAAGUCAGUUGUGAAAGUUUGCGGCGCAACCGUAAAAUUGCAAUUGAUACUGGCAGCCUUGAGUACAGUUGAGGUAGGCGGAAUUCGUGGUGUAGCGGUGAAAUGCUUAGAUAUCACGAAGAACUCCGAUUGCGAAGGCAGCUUACUAAACUGCCACUGACAUUGAUGCUCGAAAGUGUGGGUAUCAAACAGGAUUAGAUACCCCUGUAGUC